rnacentral:lncRNA from 1 species
ACACAGACUAACCUUGUCUCAAAAACAAAACAAAACAAAACAAAACAAGAUUAAAAAAGGAAGGACUUAAGAGAUGUACUGUGAAAUAAUACCAUUGAAAACAAACUCCAAUUUCGACUAGUAUAUAGGGUUUUGUUUUUAUGAAAGUGGUUCAUAAAUGAUAUUUAACUUUUUCAAGGUGACAUAUUUAAGGUAGGUAUCAUUUUAAAGUGAUUUAUUGCCACUGAUUGUGAAAUUAGCUGAUUGUCUGUAUUAGCUGGUUUGUGGAACUUUAUGCAUAUUUCUGUUUUCCUCAAAGUCUUUACAUUUUCUUGUGUGUGAUAACAACAAAAGCCACAUACAUGUGAGCGAUAAGACCUGGUGACAGUUCACAUCUUCUGAGUGUGUUGAUAAAACCUGGGGACGGUUCACAUCCUCUGAGUGUGGUGCCCAGUUCCUUUAUCCAUCUGUUUUCCUUAUUUAUUACAAACAGCUUUAAGGUAUCAUAUGUGUGUUUGUGUAUGGAUGUUUCUUGUAAUCAUUUAUGUUUGCACAUUACACAAGUAGUAUUAUUUUAUAUAUGUAUGUAGUCUUCAGUGACAUUUUUUUCUUGUUUUGCUUUGAGGCAGAGUCCUCUGUUGUAUCUUUGGCAGGCCUGGAACUCCUAGAGCUCUGCCUGCCUGCCUCGUUCUUCUGAGUGCCUGGAUUAAUUUUCACCCUGUUGCCUUGUGUGUGCCCCUUCCACUAUCAUUGAACUUCCCAUCAAGACAAUAAAUAUGGGCUCUUGCUAUUUAAUAUUUUGAUUAAAAUUCUUAAGAGAAUUUUUUUAAUUUAUUGUAACAGAAAACCUUAGUCAAUGAGGGCCUUUUUUUUUUUUUUUAAUUUCAACUAUGGCCAUAGUUUAUAAUGGUUUUAGAUUUUGGGAGAUUUCAUAUUUAAGUGAUAAAUAUACUAGAUUACAUAGUUUUAUCUGUUUUAACUUAUGACAAGUUUCAACAUGUGGAUCUUUCAGAAGUUGUAAAUUAUGAGUUUUCUAGGAGAUGGAGUAUGUUUGACUUUGGAUUUCAGAAAUAAUUUUACCAGACUGUUUCCCUGAAAGUUAUUGUUUUAUUUAUGCAACAUAUACUUUGUUUUAGAUUUUCAGAGUUCUCUGGUGAGUGACCAUUUUGUUUUUAGUUAGUCUGUGAAUUUACAUUCAUUACUGAUGCCAUUGAAACUCUGUGAAACUUUCACACUUGAAAAUAGUAAAGUGACACUAUUUAAAAUGUAAAAUGUCCAAUGCUGGAAAAUGUCCUAAUACUCUUACUGUUAGCAAGUUGCCAAGUUUAAACUAGAUUGUAUCAGUUUUUAAAAUAAAUUCUAGUGGCAUUUCAAAACCUAGAUAAAGAGGAGAAUGAAAAUAUUGAAGAGUUGUCAUUUCUGUCCUUGUGCAAGCUUGUUUUAUACAAGUCUGCGUUUUGUCUCUGUUUGCUGUCAGUUGUCUCUCAUGUGUGUGGGCUCAGGAGCUGGCUCUGUCAGUGAAGUGCUUACAGUUCUGCCCGCUUGCUUUGCAGUUCUGAGGGUCUGAGUUUAGGUUCCCAACCCAUGUAUAAAGCCUGGUGCACAACACAGCAGGGGUGUGAAUGAGAGACAUGAGGAUUCCUGGAGCUUGCUGUUAGCUUCCAUAGUUUACUCGGGAGAUGUUCUAGGCCAGAGAGAGACCCAGGCUCAGACAAGUGAAGGAAGGAAGGUGUCUGAGGAGUGACCCUUGAUGGCUUUUUCUGACAUCCAUGUAUGUGGAUACCCUACAUACAUGCACACAAAGU